GCGUAAAGAGCUCGUAGGUGGUUUGUCGCGUUGUUCGUGAAAUCUCACGGCUUAACUGUGAGCGUGCGGGCGAUACGGGCAGACUUGAGUACUGCAGGGGAGACUGGAAUUCCUGGUGUAGCGGUGGAAUGCGCAGAUAUCAGGAGGAACACCGGUGGCGAAGGCGGGUCUCUGGGCAGUAACUGACGCUGAGGAGCGAAAGCGUGGGGAGCGAACAGGAUUAGAUACCCUGGUAGUCCACGCCGUAAACGGUGGGUACUAGGUGUGGGUUUCCUUCCUUGGGAUCCGUGCCGUAGCUAACGCAUUAAGUACCCCGCCUGGGGAGUACGGCCGCAAGGCUAAAACUCAAAGAAAUUGACGGGGGCCCGCACAAGCGGCGGAGCAUGUGGAUUAAUUCGAUGCAACGCGAAGAACCUUACCUGGGUUUGACAUGCACAGGACGCCGGCAGAGAUGUCGGUUCCCUUGUGGCCUGUGUGCAGGUGGUGCAUGGCUGUCGUCAGCUCGUGUCGUGAGAUGUUGGGUUAAGUCCCGCAACGAGCGCAACCCUUGUCUCAUGUUGCCAGCGGGUAAUGCCGGGGACUCGUGAGAGACUGCCGGGGUCAACUCGGAGGAAGGUGGGGAUGACGUCAAGUCAUCAUGCCCCUUAUGUCCAGGGCUUCACACAUGCUACAAUGGCCGGUACAAGGGGCUGCGAUGCCGCGAGGUUAAGCGAAUCCUUUUAAAGCCGGUCUCAGUUCGGAUCGGGGUCUGCAACUCGACCCCGUGAAGUCGGAGUCGCUAGUAGUCGC
rnacentral:rRNA from 1 species